rnacentral:rRNA from 1 species
GACGAACGCUGGCGGCGUGCUUAACACAUGCAAGUCGAACGAAGUGGCGAACGGGUGAGUAAUACGUGAGUAACUGCCCCCCUCUCUGGGAUAACAGUUGGAAACGGCUGCUAAUACCGGAUAGUGGGGGAUGACUCGCGUCCGAUCAGCUUGUUGGUGGGCUAGUGGCCUACCAAGGCGACGAAGGGUAGCCGGCCUGCAAGGGCGACCUGCCACAUGGUGCGUGUAUACGGCCCAAACUCGUACGGGAGGCAGCAGUGGGGAAUAUUGCACUAUGGGGGAAACCCUGAUGCAGAAACGCCGCGUGCGGGAUGACGGCCUUCGGGUUGUAAACCGCUUGCAGCCAUGACGCGGUAGUGGCAGAAGAAGCACCGGCUAACUACGUGCCAGCAGCCGCGGUAAUAC